AUGACUGCUGCGGGACAUCGGCGCGACUGACUGCCCAUCAAAUAACGUUACCUAGAUUAAUAACUGGCUUCUUUUACACCUGCUUGCUUAUUUAGUGAGUCGUGGCUUGUCAUUGUUAACGGAGAACAAAAAAAACUGGAAUAUGGAGACAACAGAAGAGUCCGGCGGGAUCUGUUUCGUCUUCUAACUACACGAACUUCACCUUAUUACUAUUAUUCUGGCGACAUCAGGACCCCUUGCAGUGCAUCACCUGUGAGAUCACAAGAAGGCUGAAGAACCAGGAGUGACAAGAUAUCACUGAAUUAAAUUUUGGGAAUGAAAAAGCUCCUGCCACAAGAUCUUCAGAGCCAGACAAGCAUUGGAGCAGGGUUUACGGGGGAGAACAGGCACCCUAGACCAUCAUUGAUGCACAAAAGAUCCAACUGAUUGCUGCCAAUUUGGAGGAGGAUUCCUCGUUAUCUGCCAUGUUGCACUGUCACUUCUGGUACAGAUUCAUUGACCUUUUGUGUUAUGUUUUGUUUUUACUUAAUGCACUGUAUAGGUAGGAUUCUAAAUUAAAAUAUGCUUGUCCACAAAUAUUACCAAAACUACAGUUUACAGAACCCCCAGGGGUCAGGAGAAUAUUGUAGAAAAUAAUAGAAAAUUGAACAGGAAAAAACAAGCUAAAAACAGCAGACCACCACCCUGUCAAUGACUCUCCACCUGUUUCAAAGGUGAAAUUAUGAACUCAUCAUGAUAGUAAUGCUAACAGACAAAAUAGAGACAUGGAGAAAUAUAAUUUUUAGUUUUCAGUACCUCCUGGGGGGCUCUGAAGAACUGUUUGUAAAUAACUGGUUGAUAUUGUAAAUUUAUUUAUUUAUUUAUUUAUUUGAAAGGGACAGUACACAUUAAUGAACAUCAGUAUGUGAGUACACGUGUAAAUGUGUCGGAGUUAACAAGCCUGCUAAUUUACAUCCGUAGUCCCUUGGCAGGUAAUAGACAGACAGACACAUAGGAGGUAGACGAGAAAAAAAGAAGGAAUAAUAAUAAUAACAGUACACAAGGAGUUCACAUUAAAAUACCCAUUCAUACAUAGACAUAAAGUGCAGUGUGGAUUCUAUAAAGUGCCGGGUGUAAAGUGCCAGUUGUUAAAGUGCAAGUGCAUGAUAGU